CAGUUGGUGGCAGGUUUUGAGUUGUCUAAGCUGUUUGGGUAGAUGUGUGUUGGCAUUUAGAGAAGUAGAGGUGUCUGGGUCUUUUUGCUGUAUACUGUGUUAGUUGCUGAUAUCAUCUCUCUUAACAGGGCUGAUGGUGAGAUUAUCUAGCAGUGGUUAGGUUUCCCCGCAGCUGAUGGGAGGUACGACAAGGUCACAGGAGAUGCGGCGUAAACCAUCCAGGCCUCUGCAUCUCAAUAUGCAGGGCUGAAUGUCAGAUGAGUCUCGUCUUGUAAAACCUUAGUGCAGGUUUGCGUCAUUGUCUUCCCUGGAAUGUUUUGGAGAAGAGGAUGUGUAUUAUUUGUGCUCGUAACAGUCAUCUGAGCCAGGGGUCAUCUUUUAUCACAGUCCCGGGCACGCAAGCUUUUUCUGUUAUUCCAGUUUUGCCUUUUUCCUGAAGUGUCCACUGAGGUUUGCUCUAGCAUCAGUCACGGCAGUUAUGUUCUCUUGUUCUUGCUUACCUAUUGUUUUUAGCACCAGUUUCUGUAGUCGUAAGGUGUCCCUUUUAGAUCUUUGAGUCACCAUGUCACGCCAUUGGGGUUUUUUCCAUCGGCUGACCGCCACUGUAAUUCCCUUAGGGGCUUUGUAGAUGCAGCGGGACGAGCUGUGUGCCAAAGGGCAACAGAGGAGAGGCGAGCGGAGCACUGUAAGAAGGUGAUAGCCGAGCCUCGACGUGGCAACCUGUAAACAGCAGAGGCGGUGCGGGCGAGCGGCCAAGAUGCUGCAAGAGGCUCAGAGGGGCGAAGCCGCAUGCUGAGGAGCGGUCCGAGAAGGCGCCAUGCAGGCAGCCUUUGGAAUUGGAUGAGCAUUUGAGGUGCCACAAGGGAUGACGGCCACAGCGUCCGACACUGGAAUUCCUGCGGAGCAGAUGAUGAAGAGGAACCUGGCAACUGCAGGAAUAUCCCGGUUCACUGAUGUGUUUUUUGCUGAGGAUGGAUUCAGACCCCUGCUGUCUGACAGCUAAGUUGAGGGACUGGGGACCACUGCCCUACAGUGUGUAAUUUUGACUUCAGUUGGAAAGAAAUUGUCCAAAGCGGAAAUCUUUCUCGUUCAAAGAAGUUGCAUUUUAUUGAACUUCCCAUCAGAGUGGCUCUUCGGAGGUGAUGUACUUGGCAGUAGAAGUCACCAGCAGCAAGACUUUUCACUCUCUUU